rnacentral:rRNA from 1 species
UGAGUACGAGACGCUAAGGCGUUGAAGCAGUCUAUGUCAGACUUCCAAGAAAAGCUCGCAAUGUCAUAAACAAAGAAUGCCUGUACCAUAACCGACACAGGUGGGUAGGUAGAGUAUACUAAGGGGCGCGAGAUAACUCUCUCUAAGGAACUCGGCAAAAUGACUCCGUAACUUCGGGAGAAGGAGUGCCUUAUUUUUAUAAGGUUGCAAUAACAAGAUCCAAGCAACUGUUUACCAAAAACACAGGUCUCCGCUAAGUCGUAAGACGAUGUAUGGGGGCUGACGCCUGCCCAGUGCCAGAAGGUUAAAGAAGUUGGUUAGUUUCGGCGAAGCUGAUGACUGAAGCCCUGGUGAACGGCGGCCGUAACAAUAACGGUCCUAAGGUAGCGAAAUUCCUUGUCGGGCAAGUUCCGACCCGCACGAAAGGCGUAAUGAUUUGGAUACUGUCUCGGAGAGGGGCUCGGUGAAAUAGACUUGUCUGUGAAGAUGCGGACUACCUGCACCUGGACAGAAAGACCCUAUGAAGCUUUACUGUAACUUGAGAUUGAAAUUGGACUUUAUUUGCGCAGUAUAGGUGGGAGACGUUGAGAAUAUUCUUGCGGGAAUAUUGGAGUCAUCAGUGAGAUACCACUCUUGUAAUGUUAGAUUUCUAACUUUGUAUCAUUAUCUGGUCAAAGGACAGUUUCAGGCGGGCAGUUUGACUGGGGCGGUCGCCUCCCAAACGGUAACGGAGGCGCACAAAGGUUUCCUCUGAACGUGUAGAAAUCGUAUCUAGAGUGUAAAGGCAUAAGGAAGCUUGACUGUGAGACCUACAAGUCGAGCAGGGACGAAAGUCGGUCUUAGUGAUCUGACGGUGCUGAGUGGAAAGGCCGUCACUCAACGGAUAAAAGUUACUCUAAGGAUAACAGGCUGAUCUCCCCCAAGAGUUCACAUCGACGGGGAGGUUUGGCACCUCGAUGUCGGCUCAUCGCAUCCUGGGGCGGUAGUACGUCCCAAGGGUUGGGCUGUUCGCCCAUGAAAGCGGUACGCGAGCUGGGUUCAGAACGUCGUGAGACAGUUCGGUCCAUAUCCGGUGUAGGCGUUAGAAUAUUGAGAGGAGCCUUCUUUAGUACGAGAGGACCGAGAAGGACAUACCUCUGGUGUACCAGUUAUCGUGCCAACGGUAAACGCUGGGUAGCUAUGUAUGGAGUGGAUAACCGCUGAAGGCAUCUAAGUGGGAAGCCCACCUCAAGAUAAG